AGCCCAACAUUGAACAACCCAUCAGCCCAUUACUUCUCAAGAGAAACAUCAGCAAUUCAAACAUUCACAAACAAUAUAACAGACCCUCAAUGUUCCAUCAACGUUCAAAUUCCCAAUUCCAUCCAUUCCCAAUUCAAAAUUGAAUUUCAAAUUCCCAAUUCCAUCCGUUUCCAAUUCAAAAUUGUUUUCACUUCACUGUUAAAGAGGGAUUUGGACCAUGAAUUCUUCAUCAACAAAUAGGGGUCGUUGGUUCUUCACGAGAGCUCCUUUUUUUCUUCAAGUUUGCUGUUUCGAUUUGCUGCACAAAAGGAGAGGGAUUUGGACCAUCAAAAAACACAGAAUUCUUCAUCGAGAAAUAGGGGUCUUGGAUAGCUAAAAGAGCAUUUCAAGUUUAAGAAUUUUUUAGAGUUUGGUGGUGAGAAGUCUUCAAGCUCGUUGUUUUGGUUUGCUGCACAAAAAGAGGAAGGACUGGACUUUGCAGCGUCCGGAUGAAGCUUUUGGCAACUCACCAAUGGCUAGUGCCUCAGUUGGUGGUUUAUAUUCCACGCCAAAUGUACAGUCUUUUUGGUCUUUUGAAUAAAUAAAGAAAGAAAAACGGAAAAAUUGGGGAUAGAGUACAAGGAACUUGAACACACCCUCUUGUUACUGAAGAGGAAAGUAGCCUCUCUUGGGGAGGAGAGUUUAGAAUGCUGCACUUGUUACAUCUUCCUUCUUUUCUUUAAAAAAGAAGAGUUACAUUAGCAUGAUAGGGAUACAUGUUUCCAUACAUGGCUUUUGAUCAGGUGACAAUUAAUUAUGAUACGGCUGAGUACUUCUUUUUUCAUCUUUUUGACAAAGAAGGAUAAACACUGAUAUAGAUGACCAUAGUUGUUUCAACUACAUGUUACCUCAUUUCGGAUACCAACUUAGAUAGAUAUUAAAAGAUAGACAGUACUUCAAUUCAUACUUGCACUUCUUCUGUAAGGUUCAGCAAAGUUUUUGAGGACUAAGCAGUGAAGGAAGCCUUUCAUUUUCA